rnacentral:lncRNA from 1 species
CCCAGCUUUGCAUGCUCUUGAUGCAGUAUCCAUAAUUAAGCCUUCCAAAAUAAUUUGUGAGCCUCAGCGUUCUUUUCUAUGCUGCAUAUACCAAUACCACUUAGGGAAAUGGGACAAAUUGGAUCUGAACAAUGAGAAGAAGUUCAUUAAUAAAUCUGUCAUCUAUUAUGAUUCAGGUGCAGAUUUGCCACAGUGAACAUUUUAGGUUUGUUCUAAAGAAAGAUUUAACAUUUCUGACUUCUGGACUGGCCACUAGAGGGCGCUUGAGUGGACUGAUCAGAGAUGAGACGGAUGUCAAAUCAAAGACAGGAAAUCUUUGAUCGCUUACAAAAAUAGUGUUUGCAUUAUAUCUUGAUCACCCUUCUCAAAAUUGUUGCCGCUAUUCUACUGUUCUUGUUAAUAGGCUUGUGUCUUUUUGGAAUAUAAAAACUGAAAUCCAAAGAUCAAUGAUCAGAAGAGAUGCUAUUAAUUGUGGCAUUUUUAGCAUUUCGACAAAAGGUCCAGAUAACAAUAAUAAGCAGCUCAAUCUCCAGGCUAAAGGCCCUCUCAAGACACUGGCUUAAAAAGAGACAAGAGGUCCGGAACAAUCACAGGACCAAGAGAGGAAAGUGGCUACGAGGUCAGGGCGAUGAUCCGCAGCUGGGGCAAGGACGGCGGUGUCAACCAUGAUGAGGCUGACAGCAGGUGCUGCUGGAAAAAGAAAGACAGAAAAAUUUGAAAUGAUUGUUUAGAAUUAUUUUUCAGGCAUAAAGCUUCUUUUUAAGCGAUUUUGAAUUUAAAAAAAAUAGUCCCUCUUUGUGUUCGUUUUUUUUUUCCUAUUUGAAACUGAAACAAACCAAAAUAAUAAUAAUAAAAACCUGUACAGGAGGUUGUGUUUUGCAGUUGGAACUGAGUCGGAGUCCUAAAUUAGAAUGAUGAUCUCUGUAGCAGCCGUUCACGCAUCAUUCAUCAUUCACUCAUUCAUAAUCACGGUCUGGAGGGGGCAUCUGGAACAGCACUCUUAAGCAACAUUUGGAUCAGUUCCGUUUUGGUAAACUCCGUUUGUAACUUUGC